GGUGGCUCAGUGUUAGAGUGCUUGCCUUGCAUGCAUGAGUCCUGGGUUCGAUUCCUGAGCACCA
rnacentral:tRNA from 1 species